CCUCCUCCGGCCAAACCGAGCGCACCUUCGGCUUCCCCGUGUCCAGGCGCACCCCCGACGUCCAGGUCCUCGUCCAGGUUCGCUCCCAGUCAUCGAGUUCAUCUCCGACCUGCGAGCUCCGCCAUGGCCUUCAUCCCCGAACUUCGCCUCGUCUACUUCAAAGGGAGACGCGCCCAGUUCCAUACAACAAUCCAUCGUUAGCGCAGUGAUCCGACGCUCGACGGGCCUCGGCCCAGAUCUCCCCGACGAAGCCUUGCACCGCGCGUCCCGCAUCAUCUCAUCGCCGACACGGGCCAGGUUCUGGCCCAGUUCGCUCGCCGCACCAGUAGACAAGAUCCGGCCCAGUGCAGCAUUUGCUUCUUCCCGGAUAGGAUCGCGAAGUGGUGUUGUGAGAUACGAC